GCCUGGGUGGCUCAGUCCGUUGGGCAUCUGACUUCAGCUCAGGUCACGAGCUCACGGCUUGUGGGUUCGAGCCCCGCGUCGGGCU
rnacentral:tRNA from 1 species